UUCUGAAUGAUAGAAGAGGGAACAUCAUGGUCCUUGAGUAUAUGUUAUGACGUACAAUUGAUACCAAACUGCUUAACAUGUCAAUUAGGUAAUAUCUUUCUACAUUAUUCUGAUCAUGACUCCUGUUCUUUUUAGUUGUGACUUUUAGCCUGUUCUUUUUAGUUGUGACUUUUAGCCUGUCCUAGAUUAUCUUUAUUUAACUUUGUACUUGAUGCAACUGUCAAUAAUAACGCGUUAGUAUGGUAAAUGGACUAGAUGCUUAAUCUUUAACUGACUACUGCAUGCCUUUCUGGAAAUGGUUAAAAGGAUAGAGGGAAAGAAAAGAUCUUUCCGAACUAAUUAUUGUCAACAAUUUUCGUGGAAGGGAAAAUGAAGCUAAUUACCCUUAAUCGUCCAACAUUUUAAGCCAUUGGUGGUUACCAUUUCAAUCCCCUCCCCUUUCGAUUUCCCUUUGGUCCUCCUUUGUUGGAGUUACUGCUCCUUUCUUGACUCGAACCCACGACUCUGAGGUUGUAGGUGGGGGUGCUGACCAUCUAACCUAGCCCAGCUGGCUGGUCAAUCUCAGAGAUCUUAUCGGCCGGCAAACUGGAGACGGACAAUCACGGUCCCGGCCUUACCAGCGCUGGAGGUGUACUAAUUAAUGAACCCACGAGACCAACUUUCUUUUAUGACAAUAAACCAAGCCUAAGCGGUCACGACAUCUUGUUGGUAUUGAUUUUGAUGGAGUUUAGCUGACUGAAUCUGAGCAACCCCCUCUUUACAUGAUGAACUAUUUGUAAAAGCACAUUGGUGAAGUUCUUAAGUCUAUGGUGCAGAACGAGCUGCAUUUUGUGAGAUAAAAUUCUGGUGUAGUGAUAAGCUAAUUGAUCUUGGGCGGAACAGUGUGAUGUGAAACAGAAAGCAAUCCAGCAGUUACUCGUUCAAGAACAGUAUGCACCUCAAUGUACUUAUAUUUGCAGGUAAACAAAAUUUUCUGGCGAACUCGAGAUGAGAAGCUAUCAGUACACAGGUGACAAUCAUUCUUUUAUUAAUUAGAGUACAUUAAUUUUACAAAAGGCGGAGAGAAAUACAGCCACUUUCAGCUUUAUCUAAGGAAUAGUACUGCAGUAGAAUCUGGCUUCCUUUAGCCAAUAUGUUAUGCUGCAUCUUUACAAAUUAGAUGCAGACAUGAACCACAACACUGUUCAAUAAUACUACUAAUAAAAUAGACCAAUCAAUUAAUUUCAAGUCAAACGUUGUUGCUCCAUUUUUGGGAUGCAUCAUCUGUUAUAGAUUUUGGUUUGCAGGAAUGAAGAAUGAAAUUGCAUGCUCCCACAGCUUCUCCUACUGUUAAAAAGAUCCAUUCUUGUCCUAAUUUCUCUAUAAAUUUGGACUUGUUCAACU
rnacentral:lncRNA from 1 species